UCCGACUUGACGUCGGCAGUCUCGUUAGAGUGCCCAACUUAAUGCUGGCAACUAACGAUAGAGGUUGCGCUCGUUGCGGGACUUAACCCAACAUCUCACGACACGAGCUGACGACAGCCAUGCAGCACCUUCUCACUCGCUCCCCGAAGGGCACCCCGGUAUCUCUACCAGCUUCGAGUGGAUUUAACCCAGGUAAGGUUCUGCGCGUUGCGUCGAAUUGAACCACAUGCUCCACCGCUUGUGCGGGCCCCCGUCAAUUCCUUCGAGUUUUAAUCUUGCGACCGUACUCCCCAGGCGGGAUGCUUAACGCGUUAGCUUCGCUACAUACCGGGUCGAUACGGCAUACAGCUAGCAUCCAUAGUUUACGGCGUGGACUAC
rnacentral:misc_RNA from 1 species